rnacentral:tRNA from 1 species
UCAAGGUGCUCGCCGGCUCCGGUGCGGCCGACAUCUUCUACGUGUCGAACCCGAAGGUGUCGUCCGACCUGAUGUACUUCAAG